CACCCGGCUUCUCAGGAGCAAAAGGAGGGCGCCGAGGCGGCGGCCGCCCCGGCCAGCCCGCAGCGCAUCCAGCUGCUGCUCACCGAGCUGGACGUGCGCACGGUCGAGAUCAACGGCGAGACGGCCCAGGUGCUGGUGCUGCCCUCCGACGGCGACCGGCCGCAGGAGUCGGGCGAGACUGCCGACCUGCACCUGCUGGGCUGCGCCGAGGCGCUGGUGGUGGAGGCCGACGAGUCGCCCGGCUCGGGCGACGCCCCCUCGCCGGCGCUCUCCGCCGAUGACCCGGACCCGCUCUCGGUGGUGGUGGAGGAGCAGGCAUGAGCCGCCCCGCCGGCGGAGGAGGCAGGACUGGAGUGGCGCGGUUGCGGCGCUGAGCACGCACUCUGCCUCGGUCGUGGUGUAGGAGGACGUGUGACCCGGGGCGGCCCUCGUGCCGGGCAGGAGGCGCGGGCGCUGCUGUAAAAUGGUGAGGUGUUGUGUGGUGUGGUGUCGUAGCCCGGUGGCCAGGAGAACGCAGUCUGGACGCCUCGUGGCACGUGGGGUGGGGUGCCGUGAACGGGUGGCUAGGAGAACACAGUCUGGACGCCUCGUGGCACUUGCGGUGGGGUGUCUUGGCCCGGGGGUAAGAGGAGCGGAGUCUGAACGCCUCGUGGCGCGCAUCGCUGGUGGUGAGCUGCGAUUGAGCUGUGUAAGAGGAGGGAGGCGGUUGCCCUGAGUGCGUGUAACGUCGGUGAGUGACAGUUGGCACUUCAUGGCGUUUCACCCACACUGGCGCCGCGCCGAGCAGUCGAGUUCUGGAUGUUGGCCUCAAGCGGGUUUAGCACCGUAGUCUAGGCCGUUUAUGUAGCGGAACGUGCUGUGCGUUUUCCCCUCUUUGUUGCGGUGUCGUCACGUAGUUUACUUCGUGUUGCCAUGGAUGACGAUCAUGAUUGUGAUGACGCCCAGUGGCUCAGUUCUGCUUUUGCUCGGUACGUAAUCUCUGUCUGUGUGAGUGUGGCUUAUGCUUUGAAGUGUGAGACCAGUUUGGCUGCGGUGUUAUAUUUACCAAAGAGUCGUUGCAGUUGGUCGUAGGUGGGUCGUUUUUUUACGGAUUGGCGUGUUUGCGCCCGGCCUAUCGUGUGUCGGCGAUCGUCAGGUUCCACUCCAUGGGCGUUGGUCAGACGACGCCUGUUGAUUCCCAGUCAGGUGAUGGAGACCGCUCCGAUCGGAACAUGUAUGGGUAGAUUUACUCCCCAUGGCCAAAUCCGCUUGGCGUCCGUGUUUCAAUUGAAAUGCAAGCAAAGGGCUGGACAGACCAGUGCUGGUGCUAUCCUGGCGAGUGACACGAAUGAUCCUGCGCAUAGUAUUGCUAGGGUUGAAUCAAUCCAUCUUAAAUUUCUGGGCUGUGCUAUUGCUUCCUAACUUCUAAAUGGUGUCUCCAACAUGGCUUAUGGCGAUGCUGAUCAGGUGAACAGUUCAAUUUUACAGCGGUUUUGGAACAGCCUGGGAUAGGUGCUGCCAUCUUUUGGGCCAUAGCACUAUUUAUAUUUCCCAUAACCCUCGCCGAUGCCCUUCCUUUGCCCGGCCGGUCAUUGGUCGCUGCUCCGUGGUUGCAACAGAGAUAAAUGUGAAACGUGAGUAAAAGACAACGCAUAUUGUCUCACAACUUAUGGUAUGAAUAUUGGGCUAAGCUACGUGGCAUGGAUUGUCAAUAAAAGCCCGGAACAUCGUGUACCAGUUAAUGCCGUUCCAUCAAGUGCUGCUAGUGAGCAACCAGCCCGGUUGUGUUUAUUUCGGUGUGUCCGAAUGGACUGGUGACCCGGCGAUAUAUGGCUGAACCGUCAAAGCGCGCAAAAUUGACCAUAGUGCCGCAAGCUCCUGUGUUUCAGUGGUCCACGGGACUACAAGCCAGCAUUUUCACAGGCGCAUCGAUUAAUUACGUGUUCAAUCUUCCUCGACUAAAAAACAUGAUAAAUGGAGAGUAUGCUCCCAAGCGGUUUUGCGAUGAUACCAAAAUUUCCGUUGUAUGGAAGUUGCAAGCACUAUAAUACAUGUAAUGUGUCCGUC